AACGGCCGUACCAUGCUGAAUAUACCGGUUCUCGUUAGAUCACCGAAGUCAAGCAUCAUUGGGCGCGGUCAGUACUUGGGUGGGUGACCACCUGGGAACACCGCGUGCCGCUG